AGCGAACGCUGGCGGCAGGCUUAACACAUGCAAGUCGAGCGCCCCGCAAGGGGUUCGUCAGACGGGAGAGUAACACGUGGGAACAUACCUGUUAGUUCGGAACACCUAAGUGAAACUUAAGCUAAUACCGGAUAAGCCCUUACGGGGAAAGAUUUAUCGCCGAAAGAUUGGCCCUCGUCUGAUUAGCUAGUUGGUGAGGUAACGGCUCGCCAACGCGACGAUCAGUAGCUGAUCUGAUACGAUGAUCAGCUGCACUGGGAAUAAGACACGGCCCAGACUCGUACGGGAGGGAGCAGUGGAGUACAUUAGAGGAGGGGGCCUAACGUGAUCAAGCCACGUGGGGGGAGACGGGAAGGCCGUAGGAUAGCAAAUCUAGUUGGGAAGAGGAGAAAAUGACGGUACCGGGAGAAGAAGCCCCGGCUAACUUCGUG
rnacentral:rRNA from 1 species